CCUACUGUAGGCUGCAGUGAGGAAUAUUGGUCAAUGGCCGGAAGGCUGAACCAGCCAAGCCGCGUGAAGGACGAAGGUGCCAAGCAUUGUAAACUUCUUUUGUCAAGGGACAAAAUCAGGCUCGAGAGGCUGUCCGAGGGUACUUGAAGAAAAAGCAUCGGCUAACUCCGUGCCAGCAGCCGCGGUAAUACGGGGGAUGCGAGCGUUAUCCGGAUUUAUUGGGUUUAACUGUGGAGCAGGCGGACUGUUAAGUCAGCGGUAAAAGCCUGGGGCUCAACCCCGUCGGGCCGUUGAAACUGGCUGUCGUGAGAUGUCGAGAUGUAUGCGGAAUGCG
rnacentral:rRNA from 1 species